CCAGACUCCUACGGGAGGCAGCAGUGGGGAAUAUUGCACAAUGGGCGCAAGCCUGAUGCAGCCAUGCCGCGUGUAUGAAGAAGGCCUUCGGGUUGUAAAGUACUUUCAGUCGGGAGGAAGGUGGUAAGGUUAAUAACCUUAUCAAUUGACAUUACCGACAGAAGAAGCACCGGCUAACUCCGUGCCAGCAGCCGCGGGAAUACGGAGGGUGCAAGCGUUAAUCGGAAUUACUGGGCGUAAAGCGCACGCAGGCGGUCUGUCAAGUCGGAUGUGAAAUCCCCGGGCUCAACCUGGGAACUGCAUUCGAAACUGGCAGGCUGGAGUCUUGUAGAGGGGGGUAGAAUUCCAGGUGUAGCGGUGAAAUGCGUAGAGAUCUGGAGGAAUACCGGUGGCGAAGGCGGCCCCCUGGACAAAGACUGACGCUCAGGUGCGAAAGCGUGGGGAGCAAACAGGAUUAGAUACCCGCGUAA
rnacentral:rRNA from 1 species